rnacentral:lncRNA from 1 species
AGAUGAAAAUUUUAAUCUAUCAUUAUGUGACAGAUUUUCUUAAGUGACCUGGAACUUGAUGCAUCUGUGCUUCAGUUUCAAAUCUACAAAACAAGCAUCUCUGCAAGGAUAUGCAUGUCAUUAGCACAGAUGAGAACCAAGUGUUUGCAGCAGUCCAAGAAUGGAACCAGAAUGAUACCUACAACCUCUACAUCUCAGACACCCGAGGUGUCUACUUCACAUUGGCCUUGGAGAAUGUCCAGAGCAGCAGAGGUCCUGAGGGUAACAUCAUGAUUGACCUCUAUGAGCAGGGAUAAAGGGAAUGUUCUUGGCUAACAAGAAGAUUGACAACCAAGUGAAGACCUUCAUCACAUACAACAAAGGCAGAGACUGGCGUUUGCUGCAGGCACCAGACACAGAUCUCAGAGGGGACCCUGUGCAUUGCUUGCUGGUGAGUCUUCUUGGUGGAGUAGAGCACCCCCACAGAGAAGGCC